CCUACGGGAGGCAGCAGUGGGGAAUAUUGCGCAAUGGGCGAAAGCCUGACGCAGCGACGCCGCGUGAGGGAUGAAGGUCUUCGGAACGGAAACCUCUGUCAGCAGGGAAGAAAGGUCACUGUGCUAAUCAGCAGUGAAUUGACGGUACCUGCAAAGGAAGGACCGGCUAACUCAGUGCCAGCAGCCGCGGUAAUACGGAGGGUGCGCGCGUUAAUCGGAAUGACGGGGCGGAAAGCGCUCAUAGGCGGUAUGUCAAGUCAAGGGUGAAAUCCCCGCUCUCAACUUGGGAACUGCCUUUGAAACUGGCAAACUUGAGUGUGUGAGAGGCUAGUGGACUUCCAGUUGUAGUAG
rnacentral:rRNA from 1 species